rnacentral:rRNA from 1 species
AGAGUUUGAUCAUGGCUCAGAUUGAACGCUGGCGGCAUGCUUUACACAUGCAAGUCGAACGGCAGCACGGGGGCAACCCUGGUGGCGAGUGGCGAACGGGUGAGUAAUGCAUCGGAACGUGCCUAGUAGUGGGGGAUAACGCGUCGAAAGAUGUGCUAAUACCGCAUACGCACUAUGGUGGAAGGCGGGGGCUCCAAGGGUAACUGAGGACCUCGCGCUAUUAGAGCGGCCGAUGCCCGAUUAGCUAGUUGGUGAGGUAAUGGCCCACCAAGGCAACGAUCGGUAGCUGGUCUGAGAGGAUGAUCAGCCACACUGGGACUGAGACACGGCCCAGACUCCUACGGGAGGCAGCAGUGGGGAAUUUUGGACAAUGGGCGCAAGCCUGAUCCAGCCAUGCCGCGUGAGUGAAGAAGGCCUUCGGGUUGUAAAGCUCUUUCGGCCGGAACGAAAUCGUCCGAGCUAAUACCACGGAUGGAUGACGGUACUGAAGAAGAG